AGUUAGACCAAAAAAAAAACAAAAAAUGAAAAAAAAAAAAUUGGGGUGUUCAAGCUUCCUGAAGGUAAUACCGGGUAUUAGGUUAUGGGGCUAGGGUAAGGUUUAAGGUUUUUGGUGUUAGGGUUAAAAUCACCGUCCAAAACCUUUGUAGGAACUCUUUUCCGACCUUUUGGAGUUAGUUAGACCAAAAAAAAAGAAAAAAGAAAAAUAUAUAUUUGGGGUCUUCGGGCUUCCUGAAGGAAAUACCCGGGUAUGAGGUUAUGGGGCUAGGGUAAGGUUUAAGGUUUUUGGCGUUAGGGUUAAAAUCACUGUCCAAAACCUUUGUAGGAACUCUUUUCCAACCUUUUGGAGUUAGUUAGACCACAAAAAAAAGAAAAAUGAAAAAAAAAUAUUUGGGGUUUUUGGGCUUCCUGAAGGUAAUAC